CUCAUUCGAGGGGGAGCUUACGUAGUUGUACUCUUUUUACCUUACUAUGGUUUUUCCCAUUGGUUUUCCAUGACUAGGUUUUUAACGAGGCACUAUGUAAUACAAGAUGGAUGAUCAAGGGGGAGUGUUAUAAGAUAAACAUUGAAAUGAUCAUCCACUCCUUUACCAACUCAAGCACUAUGAUCAUCUACUCAUCAAGCACUAUGAUCACUCACUCAUUUACCAAAUUAAGCACCAUCUUUGUUAUUCUAUGUAUU
rnacentral:lncRNA from 1 species